UAACCUAAAUCUUUAUUAAAGUUGGACGGUUUGUUUGAUUGUGUCGAAUGAUUAAAGACAGGGCACUGUGCAUACACGGGUUGCACGUUUCUUCUCCUUUUCCUUUUCCUUUCCGUGAUUUCCUCAAACCUGUUUUUUCAUUCUUCCUCUCUCCCCGUCAAGCUCUCUCUCUCUCCCUCACUCUCAAACACACGGCAACAACACCAAUUCUUCAAAACUUCACGGAUCGACGAAAAUAAAAUCACCAUCUUCUUCUUUUCGACGAUACGAGUCCAACCAUACCAAUUUCAGGACUUUUCAAGCUUAUAGGAAGCUUCUUGAGGUCCUUAGGAGGCUUGGAGUAAUUCGUUGGAAGUUUUUGGACGAAAAAACACGGAGAACGACAAGUUCAAAGUUUGGCCGGAGCUUUCGAGGCUUUUUCCGGCGAAUCCACGGCGAGUUAGGGGUCGAGGUAGAAAUUCCGGCAAAACACCCACCUCCGGCGAAACCAGUCCGGCGACGCGAGGAAGAAGACGCGCGCGUGGGCAGCGCGUCUACAGUGCGCGUGAGGGCGCGUGAGAGCCCCAAAUUGAGUUCUAAAAAUUGUCACGUGUUCGUGACGUCGUGUAGAUCACCGUGGUAUAUUCACACACCCAA